AUUGAACGCUGGCGGCAUGCCUUACACAUGCAAGUCGAACGGUAACAGGUUAAGCUGACGAGUGGCGAACGGGUGAGUAAUGUAUCGGAACGUGCCCAGUCGUGGGGGAUAACGUAGCGAAAGCUACGCUAAUACCGCAUACGAUCUACGGAUGAAAGCGGGGGAUCGCAAGACCUCGCGCGAUUGGAGCGGCCAAUAUCAGAUUAGGUUGUUGGUGAGGUAAAGGCUCACCAAGCCUGCGAUCUGUAGCUGGUCUGAGAGGACGACCAGCCACACGGGAACUGAGACACGGUCCAGAAUCCUACGGGAGGCAGCAGUGGGGAAUUUUGGACAAUGGACGCAAGUCUGAUCCAGCAAUGCCGCGUGCAGGACGAAGGCCUUCGGGUUAUAAACUGCUUUUGUACGGAACGAAACGGCGAGCUCUAAUACAGUUUGCUAAUGACGGUACCGUAAGAAUAAGCACCGGCUAACUACGUGCCAGCAGCCGCGGUAA
rnacentral:rRNA from 1 species